ACCCCAUAAAUCCCCUAAUCAACUUUCAGCUUAACACUAAAAGUCACUAAUUUUCAGUAUGAGCGUUUAUGUGCGAUUUGAGAUAACUAGCUCGAGUAAAGGCUUUUGGACAUUGUGGACAUUUGUGUGGACGCUCUCCAGUGUGAGACCGUAUGUGCCUGCCAAGCUCUCCUUUGUCAACACAAUUUUUGGGGCAAUGCGGACACUUGAAUGGAUACUCGCCCGUAUGCGUGCGGAUAUGCCGCUGCAGCUGCCAGGCGAGCACAUAUUCCCUGGGACAAAGUUGGCAUUUCUCUGGCAUUUGUAAGUCUGUUUGCCUGGAUGCGUGGAGACGUGAUACUGAAGAUCCGUGUGGCGCGUAAAGGCUCGCGUACAGUGAGGACAUUUAAACGGGCGUUCACCUGAAUGAAUGCAAAUGUGCUUGCGGAGAUUUGAAGCCUGGCUAAAGGCUUUCGGACAAUGCGGGCAUUUAAAUGGCUUCUCGCCUGUGUGGAUGCGUAUGUGCGAGUUGAGAUGACAUUUUUGGGAAAACCGUUUUGGGCAGUGUGGACACGUAAAUUGCCCCUUUUUGGUCUCUCUCCUAGGAGAGUGUUCUGUGGCAGCAUUUGAUUCGAACUCUUUUUGGUUCGCUGCGUCAUCUGUCAGCGGAUUGUAUUCAAAUUUUUGCGCCUCUUGUUCCACUUUGAUGCAACCUAUAUCCAUAUCUGGCUCUGACCGUUCCCAGUUCUCUGUUUCCAGCAAUUCUGACUGUAUAUUUAUCGCGGUGCUC
rnacentral:sRNA from 1 species